rnacentral:rRNA from 1 species
GACGAACGCUGGCGGCGUGCCUAAUACAUGCAAGUAGAACGCACAGUUUAUACCGUAGCUUGCUACACCAUAGACUGUGAGUUGCGAACGGGUGAGUAACGCGUAGGUAACCUGCCUGGUAGCGGGGGAUAACUAUUGGAAACGAUAGCUAAUACCGCAUAAUAUUGAUUAUUGCAUGAUAAUUAAUUGAAAGGUGCAAUUGCACCACUACCAGAUGGACCUGCGUUGUAUUAGCUAGUAGGUGAGGUAACGGCUCACCUAGGCGACGAUACAUAGCCGACCUGAGAGGGUGAUCGGCCACACUGGGACUGAGACACGGCCCAGACUCCUACGGGAGGCAGCAGUAGGGAAUCUUCGGCAAUGGACGAAAGGCUGACCGAGCAACGCCGCGUGAGUGAAGAAGGUUUUCGGAUCGUAAAGCUCUGUUGUAAGAGAAGAACGGGUGUGAGAGUGGAAAGUUCACACUGUGACGGUAUCUUACCAGAAAGGGACGGCUAACUACGUG